CUCACACUCACAAUGACUUACACGGGCACUCACUGUCACGCACAGCCACCCAUGUACAGUGAACCCGAGACACACUAACCGCCUGGCGGCCACCCAGCGACAUGGGGUCACACCCGGUCUCCGCGCCGCCCGAGCCCUCACCCCGGUCACCAACUCGCGCGUCGGGGCUUUAACUUCCCUGCGCCCGGGCGCACUAAUUGGUCGUUCACUAAUUGGCCGUCACUCGCCUGGCGGGGCCUGGGAUUCCGAGUUGGCAGUGGCGGCCACUCGGGGCUGUCCCCCGAGGCCUGUCGCCUCCCAGGCUUUUCCUGUGUGCGGCUGAGGACAGUGCAGGGGCCUCAGGGACUGCAAGUCGGAAUGGAGCAAACGCUUCUCUCUACCAGGCCCCAGAGUAAACAGAAACCAU
rnacentral:lncRNA from 1 species